CCCUCAUUGUAUAUAAACGUGUGGUCAGAAGUAAGCAAGAGGGUGUCCACCAUUGUCCUCUCUCCUGCCUGUAAGGAUCCUUGAGUGCCAGGAUGUUGGGUGUCCGAGGCCAACCGGCCACACCCAGCUCCAGCCCUGGAUACCCCUGGGUGCUCCUCCCUCGUUGACUAUCUCUGCCUGCCAGCACGGCUGGAGAGCCAUAGCAUGCUGUGAGGAGCAGUGUACACACUUGGCUGGUCCCUAGGAAGAGCCUGCCUCCUCCUGCUCCAUUUGACUCGGAAUUCAAGCCCUCGAGCCCUGAAGUUCAACAGGAACGCUGAGUAAGUGGCAGAUGGAGAACAGCGAGCUGUCUUCUGUCUCUGGUCUGUGUUAGCAUUAUAUCUACACCGAGCCGGACAGUGUGUUUGUUUGGGGAGAGACACGAGACACCCUCCCCCACCAAGGACUGGUCCUGCUCAUCUGCCAAGAACCACAAGGUUUUCUCUGGCUCUCUCCAUCCACCCGCUCCUGUCAGAGCAUCCUUCCCCUGGGAGAUCAAGGACCUGCCAAGGAAGACCAUGCAUGGAAGCCAACUUUACACGGGAGGAAAUGCAGCCCGACACAUCCGAAAAAAGCUAACUCCCAUGAGUACCUGGAUCCAGCGCUACCCGAGGCUAGCCGUUCCUUCCUAUCCUCCGAUUCUGAGAAAAUAAUCUUCUGGCCGUGCAUAGAGUGGGGAACCCAUGCUCCUACCUGGUCCCCUAACCCCUCCUGUUGUGAUAGCCCAACCCAGGACUUAGUACGAACAGUUCUCUGUAGACAGUGAGCCAUCUGGCUCGCUGGUUCUCCUUCAUCCCCACUGGUCCCCCACCUGCCAGCUGUGCUAUUGGCCACUCCGUGGUGAUGUAUAUUUAACAAGGGCUCAGAAUCAAAUUAAUUCAGAUUAGUUAAUAAACGGCAACCUCCAUCUUCCUCUCGGGCAAGCUAAA